rnacentral:rRNA from 1 species
UACGUAGGGGGCAAGCGUUGUCUGGAUUUAUUGGGCGUAAAGCGUGUGUAGGCGGAUGUCUAAGUACCUUGUGAAAUCCCACGGCUCAACCGUGGAACUGCUUGGUAUACUGGAUGUCUUGAGCCAUCUAGGGGCUACCGGAACAAAUGGUGGAGCGGUGAAAUGCGUAGAUAUCAUUUGGAACGCCAAUGGUGAAAACAGGUAGCUGGGGAUGUGCUGACGCUGAGACACGAAAGCCAGGGGAGCAAACGGG